CAAGCAUAUUCUAGUUGACUCCUGUAAUAAAUAAGUGAAAGGUGCUGGACUAUUUUUUGUAUUGUCUCAUGCUCUGCCAUGAGGAGAUGCACGAAAGGAAGAGAGAAGGAGCACAGCUGGGACAGGUGACCUGAACUGACCAGGAUAUUCCUCACCAUGGAGUGUCAUAGCCAGUCUCUAAACUGGGGGAGUUACUCAACAGGUCUGAUUUGGGUUUGGGUCUGCAGAUGGUGAGCAGUUGUGAUUUUUUCCCUAUUGUUAUUUUUAUUAUUACUACUACUACUUAUUAUUAUUGCAUUUUAUUUUACUUCCAAUUAUUAAACUAUUUUUAUCUC